UUUUGAGAACCAAAAUGAUCAGGAGCAGCAGAGGAGGUGCAGAGGGCAGGACUGUACAGGGUAGUCUGGGAACCCUUUUGUGAAGAGGACCUCAGCUGUGACCUCACUGUGCUCCACUGUGCCUUUCAGGUGAAAAAACUGGCAACAUGAAGCACCAUAAGGGAGGCUGUGUGAAGCGCUGAGGCACAGGAAAGGAAGAAGGAGUCAAGGGAAGAAAG